GAGAGUAUAGCUCAGUGGUAGAGAGCAUGCUUAGUUAGCAUGCACAAGGUCCUGGGUUCUAUGCCCAGUACCUCCA
rnacentral:tRNA from 1 species